CUUCUAGAAAUUAGAUAUAGAAAUUUUUUGCUCUUGAAGAGUGCUGAUGGCGUUUUGUUCCCCUUAAUUUUACUUUGCAUGUGGAAUGAAACAAGUUGAAAACAUUGUCUCAGUUUUAAAUUAUUGUAUUUUAGCUAAACUGCAUUUGAUUUAUCUUCAUGACUUCUGUGUUGGUUUGUUUUGUAGAAGCUGGCCUCUAACGUCCUACGCUGUAAUAGCCACCUACCUGAAGUAGAGUUGCUACUCUUCUGCAGCUCCAUCUUGUGGACUGCAGGAACAAAGACUUCUAGAGUAAAUAUUUUAUGGCUUUAUGUUCCUCUUAGGUCCCAGUCAGAAUUUUUUGUUCCAUCUUGUGAUGCAGAUGGAUCAGAAUCUACUAGUGAAUUAAUAAGACUUGGAGAUACUGCUCAUUCAUUUUCCAAGCGAGAGGAAGAAUUCCAGUUGCCUAAAUUGUUACCAGCAGAAAAGGACAAAGGGGUGGAAGAAUCAGAAAACUCAAAGGCUUUUGCAACAUUACCUAGACAGUUCUCUGAAACUGAAAGGGCCAUUGUAAAGGAAAAGGAAGACGGAUCAGUGGACUCUAUUCAUACUACUGAGCCUCAAAAAGUCAAUUUAAGUGCCAGUGCUACAAAACUUGGGGAGCCUAUACAGCAAGCUAUUCCUUUGCUACCACCAUUUCAGUCUUCAGAAGCCAGACCUCAUUAUCCUGGAUGGAGAGAUUAUCAGAGUUCAGCCAGCCAGUCAGCAACCUUGGCUAACAGUGAAGGAGUGAAAAUUCCUACUCUUGAAAUGUCACUUACACAAAAAUCUGAAGAUGUUUCUGGUAGUCUUCCUCCAUCAAGGAAAAUCACUGGUGAGAGAAAAUUUUGCUUCUUAUAGGGUAACUCUUAAGUGUCAAAUGUUGCAUUUAUUUUUAUUGGCACUACAGGAAACAUGGUUUUGAAACUACUGGUGCAUUUUUAAAAUUCAGCCACAAGUUCAUGUUUUUAUCUCUGUUUUAUAGAGAAACAAAA
rnacentral:lncRNA from 1 species